AGCUUUGUGCAAUGGCAGUAUUGUAGCCGAUAAGGUUUAUCCACGGUGCGAUGAUUGCUAAUUAAAUAAUCAGUCAGUAGAGAGAAAGUUAUGGUUGGUGGGGAGAGAAUAUAAUAGACAGUGAGGUCAAUGUACUUAUUACACACUUAUAACUCUCUGUCUCCCUCCUCAGAGA
rnacentral:snRNA from 1 species